AUGAUUUCGCUGAAAGCAAUUAUCUCACUCGCCUUAACUUUGUUCGGACUAGUUCCAAGGCAUGAAGGUACAGAAAUGUAACCAUAUGAGUAAUUCCAAGUUGAAGUAACUUUACUUCUUUUGUUUGUUCAUGCAUUAUGGGUUUUGUUUUUUGCUGCUAUUAUGUAAUUAGCAUUCGUGCUCUGUAAAUCUUCUUCUUUUAGAAAAUUCUGUGGCUUUUUGGAACUCGCAGCCAUGGCUUAUACAUUUCAGACCAAAGGGAGAUGGAUAUUUAUGAUCCCAUUACCAUUCUUUAUAUUAUUACCUCCAUAUUCUGCACAGGGUGUAAGUAGCGCAUAUAGAGGUUACAAUGAGAGUAUGUUGCUUGAGAUGGUUUGGUCAUGUCUUAUGUAAGACUCCAAAUACAUCCUUUGGUACAAUCAAUGUUUUGGAAAGCGAGAAGCGGAAAAAAACGAGGAGGGCUUGCUUUACUGAAGCGUGUAGCGAGUCGCAUGCUUUUUCAAAUGAAGUGCUAUUUAGUAUAAAACUAGAAAAUAUUAAAUAUGCAUAGAUAAACUAGUAAAUCUUCUUCUUUUAGAAAAUUUUGAGGCUUUUGGGAACUCGCAGACAUGGCUUAUACAUUUCAGACCAAAGGGAGAUGGAUAUUUAUGAUCCCAUUACCAUUCUUUAUAUUAUUACGUCCAUAUUCUGCACAGAGUGGAAGUAGCGCAUAUAGAGGUUACAAUGAGAGUAUGUUGCUUGAGAUAGUUUGGUCAUGUCUUAUGUGAGACCCCAAAUACAUCCCUAGGUACAAUCAGGGUUUUGGAAAGCGUGAAACGGAAAAAAGUGACGAGGGCUUGCUUCACCGAAGCGUGAAGUGAAGCGCAUGCUUUUUUCAAAUAAAGUGCUAUUUAGUAUAAAACUAGAAAAUAUUAAAUAUUCAUAGAUAAAUAAUCAAGAACUCAAUAGAGGUAUCAUAUUAAGCAAAUCUUUCAAUUCUUAGAUUAAAAAGUAAAUAAUAGAUGCUAGAAAUAGAUAUUGAAUAAGAAAAUACAACUUACUACAAGCACAAACAGAACAGUGUCUCAGUCACAGGACAGCAAAAACACAAAGGAAAAAAAAUAGAGCAGAACAGAGCAGCAAAACAAAAAAAGAAAAAGAAAAGCAGAGUAUACCCAGUAGCAUUACAAACAGAGGAAUCUUAAAUUAGAAGAAAUAAAAAUAGAGUAAUGCGUAAUGCUACUUAACUUAAGUAGCAUUACAAACAGCAAACUGAAAAGUAAAAAAAAAUCCUACUUACCUUGUGGAGCAGAGAAACAGAAAGAGAAGAAGAGAAGAGAAGAGAAGAAGAACUGACAUAAGUAUUUUUACAGAAAGUCCAGCAGUAGUCGACAAAGGAGGGAAAAUAUUUGGUAAAACUUACGUAAGUAUAUUUACAGAAAUUAAACAAAAAACUUAGUUAGCGCUUAUCUCUAAAAAGCGAGCCUUUUCUCGCUUUAAUAAAAAGCACGCUUUUUGCUCUUUGGAAAGGAGCGCAUGCUUCUUCACCAUUGCGUCGCUUCAGGGCAUUAGAAUGACAGCCUGUU
rnacentral:lncRNA from 1 species